GGAGGUAAAAAAAUGACAA
rnacentral:misc_RNA from 2 species